rnacentral:lncRNA from 1 species
CCGGACCGUCCGGUUUUACUGGUCAGCGCAGCCACCGGGAGUUUUAAAGUUUUCCAUCGAUUCUCUGAUUUUCCAAGCGUUCUCUCCAUUUGGCCUUCAGCCGUGGAAGGCAUAGUACUUGUCAUUUAAAUUGUAUACCUACAAGAAUUUCAUAUCCACCGAAAGAAGCUAAUCUGAAAGACCUCAUUAGAUUAUGAAUUAUGUUUUGAGUCAGGAAAUAAAUACACAUGUGAUUGCUCAAGGGACAGGCGAAAGCGCACAGUCGCGGUUCGAGGUCUGGGCGGCGGGAAGCCCUCUCGAUUCUCUUCCCGAGGCUCCAUCCUCUUCCUUCCUAUCUUCUGUUCAGAGCGUUAACACCCUCGGGAGAGGUGACGAUCGGAGCCACUCUGGUUUGACAAUUACUCAAGGUUCGAAUGAUCAGCGCUCUGUGGAUGUGUGGAUGGCGGAAGAAAGUUGAGAACAGAUAUCGCAGCAGCACGUGAGGCAGAGAGGCGCCUCGCAAGGAAACAGAUGUGGCCACAGACAUCGGGAGUCCAGGAGACCAGCUCUUAAGUCGCAGGAACGAUGCGCAAAAGAUGGCUCAGGACUGCCUCUGACGGCGGGGGUUGAGAGCUGAAGUGACAGGUGAAGUUAAGGGCAAGCCAGUGGCAGAAAUACAGGACAUCCACCUCUCAGCUUUCAUGAAACAAGCUGGACCGGGGGUCCAGGAACAAGUUGCUUCAAAAACAAGCUGUGUUGGGGGUCAGAGAGUGAACUGUCAUCUCAUUACAGUUCUCGACUUCCUCUUUAGGCUCUGACAAAGCUUCUGUAUUUUCUCGAGAUCUCCCCAAAGCAAACAGGCAACGCUGAGAAAAAAAAAGAAGAAAAGAAAAGAAAAAGGGAAGUUAAACAAUGACUUGCUAAGUUUGAAAGACACAUAGCUUUUGCUCGUGAUACCAAAGCUCUCCCGGAGCAACGCCCCUUUCUCUGCUGUUGUCCCAUUUUCCAGCGAAAGGCACCUGGAGGAGGUGCCACCUCAGCCUGGUGAAGGACAGUGGUUCCUCUUGGCUGGGCCACAUGACCCCAUCCUUUCUCGUCUCGGCUGGCUCUUACCAAAAUCAGUCCUUACAAGCGGAUGGCUGCCAAUGCUCCAGCGACAGGACUGUGGGAACCGUUGUCACACUGGCUCUUCUGGGAUCAGGGGUAUGUUAGGUAAACAGUGAUCUCAGUUUGGCUCAUGCAGUUUUACUGACAUCGUGAUGGGAGAUAGCAGGUCACUGUCAAUUUACUUCGUCGCUUUGUUUUGGCUUUCUUUGUCUCAAGGAGCGAACCCUAAGGAAACAGGAAAGGUUUCCUUUUUUUCUUUUUUUUUUUUCUGCCUAAUUUUUGUCAACAUAAAAGCAAUACCCGCUCAUUAAAGAAAUGGAAAAGAAGAGAAACUCGUUAGGAAGUGACUGCUAAUCGCCACCACUCACACA